CCUGAACACACCCAAUCUCGUCUGAUCUCAGAAGCUAAGCAGG
ensembl:rRNA 5S_rRNA 5S ribosomal RNA